rnacentral:rRNA from 1 species
GUAGGGAAUAUUGGGCAAUGGAGACAACUCUGACCCAGCCAUGCCGCGUGCAGGAAGACGGUCCUCUGGAUUGUAAACUGCUUUUGAAUGGGAAGAACAUACGGUUUGCGAACCGUACUGACGGUACUAUUAGAAUAAGCACCGGCUAACUCCGUGCCAGCAGCCGCGGUAAUACGGAGGGUGCAAGCGUUAUCCGGAUUUAUUGGGUUUAAAGGGUGCGUAGGCGGCCUUAUAAGUAGGUGGUUAAAGGUAGCAGCUUAACUGUUUUACAUGCCAUCGAUACUGUAGGGCUUGAGUGAUUUGGAGGUAGCUAGAAUUCCCUGUGUAGCGGUGAAAUGCAUAGAUACGGGGAGGAAUACCGAUUGCGAAGGCAUGUUACUACGAAUUAACUGACGCUGAGGCACGAAAGCGUGGGGAUCAAACAGGAUUAGAAACCCGUGUAGUCC